UACAGAGGUCUCGAGCGUUAGGCGGAAUCACUGGGCUUAAAGCGUGUGUAGGCGGUUCGUUAAGUGCCUUGUGAAAUCCCACGGCUCAACCGUGGAACUGCUUGGCAUACUGGCGGUCUUGAGCAACCUAGGGGCGAGCGGAACAAAUGGUGGAGCGGUGAAAUGCGUAGAUAUCAUUUGGAACGCCAAUGGUGAAAACAGCUCGCUGGGGGUUUGCUGACGCUGAGACACGAAAGCCAGGGGAGCAAACGGG
rnacentral:rRNA from 1 species